UGGGGAAUAUUGCACAAUGGAGGGAACUCUGAUGCAGCGACGCCGCGUGAACGAAGAAGGCUUUCGAGUAGUAAAGUUCUUUAAUAUGGGAAGAUAAUGACGGUACCAUAAGAAAAAGCCCCGGCUAACUACGUGCCAGCAGCCGCGGUAAUACGUAGGGGGCUAGCGUUGUCCGGAAUCACUGGGCGUAAAGGGUUCGCAGGCGGAAAUGCAAGUCAGGUGUAAAAGGCAGUAGCUUAACUACUGUAAGCAUUUGAAACUGCGUAUCUUGAGAAGAGUAGAGAUAUGUGGAAUUUUUAGUGUGGCGGUGAAAUACGUAGAUAUUAAAAAGAAUACCGGUGUCGCAGGCGACUUACUGAGCUCAUUCUGACGCUGAGGAGCGAAAGAGUGGGUAGCAAACAAG
rnacentral:rRNA from 1 species